rnacentral:rRNA from 1 species
GACGAACGCUGGCGGCGUGCUUAACACAUGCAAGUCGAACGGAAAGGCCCUGCUUUUGUGGGGUGCUCGAGUGGCGAACGGGUGAGUAACACGUGAGUAACCUGCCCUUGACUUUGGGAUAACUUCAGGAAACUGGGGCUAAUACCGGAUAGGAGCUCCUGCUGCAUGGUGGGGGUUGGACAGUUUCGGCGGUUGGGGAUGGACUGGCGGCUUAUCAGCUGGUUGGGGGGGGAGUGGCUUACCAAGGCUUUGACGGGUAGCCGGCCUGGGAGGGUGACCGGCCACCUUGGGACUGAGAGACGGCCCAGACGCCUACGGGAGGCAGCAGUGGGGAAUAUUGCACAAUGGGCGGAAGCCUGAUGCAGCAACGCCGCGUGCGGGAUGAUGGCCUUCGGGUUGUAAACCGCUUUCGCCUGUGACGAAGCGUGAGUGACGGUAAUGGGUAAAGAAGCACCGGCUAACUACGUG